AGAUGUUAGUAAAGUAUUACAAAACCUUGUCAUGGCUUAAUCGCCGGUUUAAACCCGGCACAUCUUGU
rnacentral:tRNA from 1 species